GACGAACCGUCCAAACGUUAUUCGGAAUCACUGGGCUUACAGAGUUCGUAGGCGGUCUGGAAAGUUGGGUGUGAAAUCCCUCGGCUCAACCGAGGAACUGCGCUCAAAACUACCCGACUCGAGGGGGAUAGAGGAAAGCGGAACUGAUGGUGGAGCGGUGAAAUGCGUUGAUAUCAUCAGGAACACCGGUGGCGAAGGCGGCUUUCUGGGUCUUACCUGACGCUGAGGAACGAAAGCUAGGGGAGCGAACGGG
rnacentral:rRNA from 1 species